rnacentral:rRNA from 1 species
AGUGAACGCUGGCGGUAGGCCUAACACAUGCAAGUCGAACGGCAGCACAGUAAGAGCUUGCUCUUACGGGUGGCGAGUGGCGGACGGGUGAGGAAUACAUCGGAAUCUACUUUUUCGUGGGGGAUAACGUAGGGAAACUUACGCUAAUACCGCAUACGACCUACGGGUGAAAGCAGGGGAUCUUCGGACCUUGCGCGAUUGAAUGAGCCGAUGUCGGAUUAGCUAGUUGGCGGGGUAAAGGCCCACCAAGGCGACGAUCCGUAGCUGGUCUGAGAGGAUGAUCAGCCACCCUGGAACUGAGACACGGUCCAGCCUCCUACGGGAGGCAGCAGUGGGGAAUAUUGGCCAAUGGGCGCAAGCCUGAUCCAGCCAUACCGCGUGGGUGAAGAAGGCCUUCGGGUUGUAAGCCCUUUUGUUGGGAAAGAAAAGCAGCAGGUUAAUACCCCGCUGUUCUGACGGUACCCAAAGAAUAAGCACCGGCUAACUUCGUG